AAGUGUGAAGAUGAAAUGGAUGACUUAGGGAAGAAGAGAUUGCUAGAUUAAUCUCCCUAAGUGGCCGACCUCUUUGUAGAGAGAAAGAGAGAAAAUGUUUCACCUCUUUGCCUCAAAGAAAACCCUAAUGAGAAAUAAAGCUAUAAAGUUCCUUCUAUACUUCAUUUCAAGUGAGGGCAAACUUGUAAUUAAUCCAAGCUUGCCCAUUCACCCUAAUGGCCGGCCAUAUUAAUGUUAUUGGGCUAUUUGCCCAUUUUGUUUUAAUUGUCAUACAACUUAAACAUAAUGGGCCUUUUGGACCAAAACGCUUUUGGGCCCCGAAA
rnacentral:lncRNA from 1 species